rnacentral:lncRNA from 1 species
AUACAAAAUUUAAAAGUUCAAGGAAAUUAGAUAAAAUAUUAGGUUUUUUUUAAUAUGAUGGAAAAAUAACAUAAAAAAAGAUAUUUAAACCAAAACAUUGCUCUAGAUACCAGAUGAUACCAUCUCGUCCAAGAAAGAGUAGAAUCUUUUCUUAUUUGAAUCCUCAAGAAACACAACAAAAAUAAACCAAUACAGAAUGAAAGUUGCUUCUUACACCUCAUCUAUCUCACCUAGUGCCUCCCAUUUUACACAUUUGUCCUUCAUUUAUUAAAGUCAAAACAAAUUUAAUGAUGAGUUAAUGAUCUUGUAACAACUAACAACCAACAACCCUAAACCCCCUCUCAUUGUAUAAACCCUACAUGCACCCCCUUCCCAUUUUUUCACUUUCUUCACAAUAGCAUUUUCUUCACUUUCACUUUUUCAUUGUUUUUGAGUUGAGAGUUGAGAGCUUGUAUUGUGUAAAGUGGUGAUACAAUGGUGAUUGUGAUCCGUGGUGGCAGUACUUUGGUUAUUGAAGGAGGCAGGUGGAGGACGAAGGUGGUGACAGAGAGCUUCUAAACACAUUGAGGUUAGUUUAGCAGUACACGUAAACACCCUUAACCGGCAUUCGGGCUACGGUUAAAGGUGCAUUGGCGUUUGAAUGCUGGUUCUACAGUGUCGCACUUUAAAGUUUUGUAUCCCCU